GACGAACGCUGGCGGCGUGCUUAACACAUGCAAGUCGAGCGGUAAGGCCCUUUCGGGGGUACACGAGCGGCGAACGGGUGAGUAACACGUGGGUGACCUGCCCUCAGCUCUGGGAUAAGCCUGGGAAACUGGGUCUAAUACUGGAUAUGACUCCACGGUGCAUGUCGUGGGGUGGAAAGCCUUGUGCGGCUGAGGAUGGGCCCGCGGCCUAUCAGCUUGUUGGUGGGGUGANGGCCUACCAAGGCGACGACGGGUAGCCGGCCUGAGAGGGCGACCGGCCACACUGGGACUGAGACACGGCCCAGACUCCUACGGGAGGCAGCAGUGGGGAAUCUUGCGCAAUGGGCGAAAGCCUGACGCAGCGACGCCGCGUGAGGGAUGACGGCCU
rnacentral:rRNA from 1 species